rnacentral:lncRNA from 1 species
CGGCACAGUAAAGACCCGGAAGAGACACGCGCCGGAAAUCUCACGCAAGAAUAACCCUCGGUGGGUUCUACGGAGGGAAACAGCACUCCAGAGAAUUUAAACCGCAUUUUAGUUAAUGUAGAUGUUCCAGGACCGGCUUCAGUGCGGUCCACCGGCCGAGUCUUCGCUGCUCGGAGGCCUUGGUCUUGAUUUCAUGCUCCGUUUUGAUACUUAACUUUCAGAUGUCCUGGGCCCUGCGAAUUUUGUAGCUAAUCUCGUGUAUGAUUAUGGGAAAAAAAAAAAAGUUACGAGUCUCUGGGAGCUUUUGAAAGGUCAUUCCUUUUAACCUCAUUGUUCAAUUUCAGAUCAUACUUAUUUAAAAAUUAAAUUGUUAUUCUCCUUUCCUCCCCACACCCACCUCUUAAUUUCCUUGAUAUAGUCAUUAUUAUCACGAUGUCAGUGUUGAUAACGUGUUCUCCAACUUCCACUUCAGCAGUUAUUUGGCUUGUUCAUCAAAUCCACAAAAAUGUGCCGAUUGCUUUCCCGGUGUGUGGUAUGACUUUUACACUGGUGAUAGACCUCUGUCCUGGUAGGACUUACCAGCAGGCAGAUCACCGUGCCCAUCUGUAAUGUCAGGUUGCAAUACUACCAAAGCAGAGCAGACUGGGGACAGUGCAAGCUAUCUGAAAUAAGACGGGCAGGUCUGGGAGUGUAGUUCAGUGGAAGAGUGUCUACUCAAGUCCCUGUGUUUAAUCACCAGCAUCGAAAGGAAAAGAAAACAGAAGAAGAUCAAGAAAGACCUCCCAGAAGGGGAGGUUGGAGCAGAGUCCCCGACGAAGUAUGCUGGCAGGAGUCCAAAGGAAGAGCAGUGGGAAGCAGCCUGAGGUGCCCUUGGGUGGUCCAGGACAAUGAGGGCCAGCAAGGCAGCCAGCGGGCAGUGGGGUUGAGGGGAGGCUUAUCAGGAAGAGCUUUGUCAGACAUAGGAAGGCGUCGAUUCUGUUCUAGGCAUGGUGGGAAGCCUUUGGAGGGCUGCGAGACUUGCUUUCUGUUACAUUUUUGAGGCUCUUGUGGAGGUUGAAUGGAGAAUGGACAGUAAGGAAGGGGCAGAAGGCUAAUGCCCUGUGGUGGCAGCCAAGGACCAAAGGUGGCUGGACCCAGAAUGAGCACUGAGGGAAUGAGAGGACUGCCUGAGAGUCACCCACUGAAACACCAGCCAGAGCCCAGUCAUUGGGUUUGUUGGGAUUCCUGCUGGGGGAGCAGCUUGGCGGGCUCUAGAUGUGUGGGUUGUCAAGAUGGAGGACACAUCUGGUGAGGUGCUUGACACAGCGCUAUGCCAAGUCUUAACACAAAUAAUAGGGUUUUUUUAGGUGCUGGGGAUGGAACCCAGGGCCUCGCACAUACUAGACAAUCUUGCUCUACUGCUGAGCCACAGCCCAGCUCAACACAGAGAAUGAUUUUGAGCACAUUUUGAAUAAAGUCCAUCUUGUUUGAAUG